rnacentral:rRNA from 1 species
AUGGCGAUGAAGAAAUUCUCGUUGUUCAUGGGGCUGCUCAUGCUUGUGUUGUUUCCAGUGUUGUCGCGACAAGAUGGUUUUGAUCAACGGGUGGCAUUGCAAGAGACUAAGAGUAGUGUAGCCACAUUGACACUUGACGCCAAGCUCUCCAUAGCAGAAGCCUCAAGGCUCGGUAAUAGCAUUGACCCAGACACACUAUCUUCGGUGGUGAAGAUGCCUUGUACAAGAACAUCAGUGAGUGCAUUUCCAACAUCCCUGGUGAUAACAUUAAAUGAUACUCCCUCAAAUGGAUGUAUCUAG